rnacentral:lncRNA from 1 species
CAUACAAACUUUAUUUAGAGAGCUCAGACAAGCCAGACACAUAGUAUUACAAAGAUAGGGGUCUCACGACCCAUCAUCACAAGUCAUACAAACAAGUCUUACAAGCCAGCGGAAGAUUAAAACUGUCUGAGUACAGACAGAUGGAAAGGUAAAAGGCACAUGGCCUGACUAUCUACAGACCCAACCUAGGGCUAGAUCAUAGCUGGGACACCAGCUACUCGUCAUCGUCAACGUCUAGAUAGUACCCCCCAUUAGGGUCGUUAACAACAUCUGCAACAAUUUAUUAAGAAAACGUGAGUACAAAAGUACUCAGCAAGACUUUAGGAUAAUCUAUAUACUCAUGCAAUGUAUCAACAAGGAGUUGUGGGGUUUCAUGCAGAAAGCCAGCAUUUGACUCUUGGCUAGACAACUUACAUUUUCAAAUAACUUUGACAACUUUGAUUUCUCGCACACGAGUCCACUAACACCACAACAAUACUCCAUCAUGGAAUCAUUCCGUCACCCCACGUAAAUACCAUCCACGACACUCACACUUAUCUUGACAAUUUUUUGAGUAGCCAUUAUAGUUAUCUAUGAACAACAUAUGUUUCCAAGUAGUCCAUAUCCGCGGACGCGGCUAUUUGAAUAUAUCAUAAACCUGCAGGAGUGUACUCCUUCACACACGCUCUCGCCACUUAUCGCUAUGUGCACGUCAUGCACCUCAGCAACCUUCAAGCGGAAGCCCAGCGAGGGAGUCGGCCACGACCGUUAACCACUCUAAUACCUAGUCCAGGUUUAUCGCCUAUCACAGGGUAACCCGCACGGAAGUCCGGCCGAGGUUUCCGCCACGACCCCAAACGAUGUGCGCAGGGUUCCCAAGCCCACCAUCCGGGUGCCACUUGAUACACCGUGCCACUUCCUACCGCAUCAUAGUGCACCUAUAAGGUCAGCACUACGCACGGCCUCCAGCAUGACUAUAAACACCAGAAACUACUUGCAACUCCUGGACCGAGUACUAAGCGAUUAAUAAGUCGAGAGGGUCAAUUAAGUAUCCCAACGUGUGGUAGUAUCUAGUCUUGGAUUACAUACACGGAACUCAGUUCCUAAGGACGGUUCCAAUGAAACAACCCGCCAUGUACUCCUACAUAGCAUUUCACCGGCACCUUUACCAAAUCAGGUUCAACACACAACAUAUAGUAACUGAACACAUUCUCACGAUCCUGUUCAUCACCCAGAUGACAGACCAUACACAACUCUAAGCAUAACAUGCAUAGCAGGAUAAGGCACAUCAUCGCUCAAGCAUCUACCAGGUAUGCUAGGUUGCAAGGUUCAACUAUUUACUGUGACAAAGGACAGGUCAUGCAAAGGAAGUGGGUUCAACUAACGUGGUAAAAGCAUUGAAAGCAUUUUGAUCUAAUGCAAUAAGUAAGAGCAGGAGCGAGAACAUGGGAUUUAUCGGGAUGAUCAAAAUGGUUGCUUGCCUUGUUGCUCAGCAGAGGGGUGAUAUCUGUCAGUCGGAUAAUCAGAUGUAUCCGGAGGGGCGGAGCCUACCGGAAUAACAACAAUCAAUCAAUAUCAAACAUAUGCAACAAAAUGAUGCAUGAAAUGCAAUGUAGCAUGGCUUAAGAUGACUAGCAAAACCCUUUGGGAUAAUCUUGAUUUGAAAUCUUAAUUCAAAUACCAUUUGAAUUAUAAUUCAUCAAAUUCUUUUAAUUGAUUUGACCUGAUGCUGUUUCAUAACUUUGUUUUUCAUGCAAGAAAAUAGCACCAUUCGAUUCCUUGAAUUUUUCUGAUCAUUUUACAUAUAUUAUUUGUCAAAUUUGGAGUUAUAUUCAAUUUUCUAUGAAUUUCCAAAGUUUUGGACUUAUUCUGGAAUUGUUUUUAAACAGAAAAGGUUUUAUUGCAUCAGCAUGAAAUCAGCAGGUCAAUCUGGCGGCUGAAAGUCAAACUUGACCAGUGGGACCAACUAGUCAGUGACUCUGGCCAGGUUUUAGUUAAAUUUAAACUUAAUUAUGUAUUUAACAUGGCUGGACCCACAUGUCAGUGACUGUUUAGGUUUUUAAUUAAUUAUUUAUUUUAUUAACCUAAACUUAAUUAGCCAGGGGGCUGGCCCCGCAUGUCAGCUGCAUAGAGAGGCUCAGAUCCACCGACGGCGAGGUGGAACUCGCCGGCGGUGAGCUCCGGCGACCACAGGGACGGCAGAGAGCUUCAGGAAUUCAAUUCCGGCGACCAUUUGCACGGCAGAGAGCACCAAACGAACCAGCACUCAGUCGCAGUUCCAUUUUUGCAAAGAACCAAGGCUAAGAUGGCCGGAGAUGACACCGGCGUUGAGCUCGACGGCUGCCGGAGCUCGGGCUAUGUCGGGAUCGAUGAAACCAAAGGCAAAUCGAGCGGGGCUUAGCUCCUAGAGCACCUACACAACAUGCUGAAGCUUUUGGUGGCCUCAGAACGACUAGACGUUCACUGGAGAGCUACCGGCGACGAGCUCCCGCGACGGAUCUCGUCGGGCUCCGAUGGGAUCGGGUGAAAGAGGAAGGAAUCGAGGGGGAAAACUUGGGGGAAAGAUUCCUCAACUCACGAGGAGUGCAGAGGCAACGAAAGUGAGCUCGCGGAUGGCCUGAGGAGGGAUAACGAUGACGGCGAGCUCCGGUGACCCGAGGAGGAAGAUGACGGCGUCACGGCGUUUCAGAGCUUCUCGACGUCGAGCGACUGGCUUAGGAGCUUCAGGGAGCUUCGAGGAAGCUGUUGCGCGGAUCAGGAGAGAGGAAGAGAGGCUAGAGCGACUGCUAGCUCGAGCUCGAGCUCGCGAUCAUGGCGGCCGAGAGGGGGAGAGAGCAAGGGGCGAAUGGAGAGGGGGAGAGCUCAGGGAUGGAGCGGGGGAUCUUAUCCCUCCCCUCCAAUGCAUCAGGGCGAGGCAGCGAGCACAGAGGUGCGUGGGCGCACCGGGAGGAGCGGCGGCCACCUCCAGCGCCGACUGGCAGGAGGUAGACGACACGGGAAGGUGGGCUGGGCCAAGGUGAGCACUAGAUAGUGUUUUUGCAUUUUUUUUUCUUGCUUUAGUUUCUGUUUAUUCUUUCUUACAUUUGUCUUUAUUUAUUUUUAGCUCUAAAACCAAUUCAAAAAUAGUUUGAAAUAUACUGGGGUGUUAGUUGGAAUAUUCCCAACUACACAUAAAGUUUUCAGCAUUUUUGAAAACUUAAAUAUUUUUGAAACCAAAUAUAAAGUUGAAUUUAGUGAUUUUCUGAAUUAAAAUAAAAUGCCCAAAGUAGUUUGAAUAUAAGUUUCACCCCUGAUAUCUUGUUUUGUACAUUUAUCAGAAAAGGUGAACUUUUAUAAUGGCCAUUUUGGGUUCAUUGAUUUUGGCAAUAGUUGGAUUUCUUUUGAAUAAAGAGUGGCUAGGGUUUCGCUUUGUAUUUCACCACUUCUUUUGAGUUUAUUUCCAUUUCUGGAAUGCAAUGAAAGAAGACAUGAGCAAAAGUUGCUAAACCCUAUGUAGGGAAUUCCAGGGAUGUGACAUAAUAUAACAUAUACACCCUCUUUACACUAUUAAAAGACGUUUUGUGCAUAGCUAAUAAUAUAUCACACACUUGACUAUUUAAGCAAAAAACAUGAGCUGCGCCUUCAGACUUGGUGCUACUACAAGUGUUGAUUUUUGAAUUUGUACCUAAGCACAAGUUCAGUUCAUAUACAAAAAUAUAUUAUGUAUGUUUAUGCAUGACCAUGCAGAACUGAAGUGAAUAAUGUGGACGGUGACAUAUACCGAUUGACAUGGAAUAAUAUACUAUGCUGGUAGAUUUUCAAUCACGUGUCUAGAGGAGAAUUCACAGUUGUGUAAUUGCACAUGGUCAGCAAUGCUUUACCUCCACUAAGAAUGCAUAUUGCACACUUAACUAUUUUUAGCUAAACAUGAGGCACACCUUCAGACCUGCUACUACAAGAGUUGAGUCUGAAUUUCUUUUGUACCACAACAUAGGAUGAGCAGAGAGAGAGAGAGAUGACAGACCCAAGCUGCUGCUGAUUUGAUGGACAUGGACGAUGGUUGCACCAUAGAUUUUCUUUUUAAGAAAGCGUUCCUCUUUUCUCUGGUCAAAUCCUAGUCACCAUAGAAAAAUGAACAGGCCCAAAUCUAUUCAACAUGCUGUAAAGCAAUCUACUCUAAAAUCAGAGAGCAUGCAACAUAAAAAAAAGAUUAAACAAGAAACAUUUAGAUCUCCAUAGGCAUGAAGAUCGCCCCACCUCCCUUGCCUGUUUCUUGUCUUUCUCGUCCGUCUACACCUUCUCCUCCUUCCUCAUCCCCUUCUACUCAUUUUCUCUGGUCACGGAAUGGACCAAACUAAUGCCCCUAAAAACAAACCAUUCAGAUCAGAAAUUGUACAAGGGAUAAAUGAAAUUUUCUUCCCAAAUCAAGCGACGUAGAAGACCACCAGUGGCGGAGACGAGGCCGUGCCCCAAACCCUAACCACGGAUGGAUUGGGGGCGAGCGUUGGAGGCGUGGAGGGACGGGUCUGCUCGGAUGGAUCAACGCAGCACGACGAGGUGACCUCGGCAGCGUCCUGCACGCCGGCCAUGGCUGCCGGAGCUCGCCAAAGGCACGCAGGUGGCGGAGACGUGGUCGCACCCCAAACCCUAACCGCGUGGGGUGGAUUGGGCACGAGUAUUGUAGGCAGGGAUGGACGGAUCUGGGCGGAGGGAUCAACGCAACAUGGCUACAUGAGCUCGGCAACGUCCCGCGCGCCGGCCAUGGCUGCCGGAGCUCACCGACAAAGUCGUUGUCGUCGGCGGCUAACCCUAGGUCGCGUGAGGGGGCAGAGGAGAUGUGGCUGCGGGGAGAGUGUCUUCGACGCGGCCGGGUGGAAGUUUUCCUUUUGUUUAUUUACUUCCUUUUUUAUUCUCGUGGGAGAGCGUGGAGGCUUUCUUUAAUUGUUC